GACGAACGCUGGCGGCGUGCUUAACACAUGCAAGUCGAACGGAAAGGCCCUGCUUGCAGGGUACUCGAGUGGCGAACAGGUGAGUAACACGUGGGUGAUCUGCCCUGCACUUCGGGAUAAGCCUGGGAAACUGGGUCUAAUACCGGAUAUGACCUUCCAUGUAGUGUGGGGGGUGGAAAGAUUUAUCGGUGUGGGAUGAGCCCGCGGCCUAUCAGCUUGUUGGUGGGGUAAUGGCCUACCAAGGCGUCGACGGGUAGCCGGCCUGAGAGGGUGGACGGCCACAUUGGGACUGAGAUACGGCCCAGACUCCUACGGGAGGCAGCAGUGGGGAAUAUUGCACAAUGGGCGGAAGCCUGAUGCAGCGACGCCGCGUGGGGGAUGACGGCCUUCGGGUUGUAAACCUCUUUCGACAGGGACGAAGCUUCGGUGACGGUACCUGUAUAAGAAGCACCGGCUAACUACGUG
rnacentral:rRNA from 1 species